GAACGGAAUCUUCGGAUUUAGUGGCGGACGGGUGAGUAACGCGUGAGAAUCUGGCUUCAGGUCUGGGACAACCACUGGAAACGGUGGCUAAUACCGGAUGUGCCGAGAGGUGAAAGGUUAACUGCCUGAAGAUGAGCUCGCGUCUGAUUAGCUAGUUGGUAGAGUAAGAGCCUACCAAGGCGACGAUCAGUAGCUGGUCUGAGAGGACGAUCAGCCACACUGGGACUGAGACACGGCCCAGACUCCUACGGGAGGCAGCAGUGGGGAAUUUUCCGCAAUGGGCGAAAGCCUGACGGAGCAAUACCGCGUGAGGGAGGAAGGCUCUUGGGUCGUAAACCUCUUUUCUCAGGGAAGAACACAAUGACGGUACCUGAGGAAUAAGCAUCGGCUAACUCCGUGCCAGCAGCCGCGGUAAUACGGAGGAUGCAAGCGUUAUCCGGAAUGAUUGGGCGUAAAGCGUCCGCAGGUGGCAAUGUAAGUCUGCUGUUAAAGAGUCUAGCUCAACUAGAUAAGAGCAGUGGAAACUACAUAGCUAGAGUACGUUCGGGGCAGAGGGAAUUCCUGGUGUAGCGGUGAAAUGCGUAGAGAUCAGGAAGAACACCGGUGGCGAAGGCGCUCUGCUAGGCCGUAACUGACACUGAGGGACGAAAGCUAGGGGAGCGAAUGGGAUUAGAUACCCCAGUAGUCCUAGCCGUAAACGAUGGAUACUAGGCGUGGCUUGUAUCGACCCGAGCCGUGCCGUAGCUAACGCGUUAAGUAUCCCGCCUGGGGAGUACGCCGGCAACGGUGAAACUCAAAGGAAUUGACGGGGGCCCG
rnacentral:rRNA from 1 species